rnacentral:lncRNA from 1 species
GAUGAGAGCACAAAAGUGCAAUCGUCAUACCAUCUUAAUUAGUAUUAUAGCUAAUCAUUAAUAAUAAAAUUAACUAAUUAACGUUGUAUUUGUGUUUGAGUGCAAUAAUCCAAGAAACCAAUUAACAUUGGGUUUGAGCCCAAUGCCCGGCAGCCCGAGCUCAAGUCAAGCCAGCCAAUCUUCCAUUCCCAGCAGCCCACACCUCUUG